ACCUGGAUUGUACACCUGUAUCAAAACUGUACAUUAUUUUGAAACGUUUGUGAUGAAGCGGAUAGUAAUGGACAUUUCUAACUUGUCUCAAUGACUGCAGAGCAACAGGCAACUUGGCUGCAAACUCGCUGACUGACUCAUCGGCUUUGUAGGAACUGUUGCACAGAAUCCCGUCGCGAUGUCCCUGCUGUGUGUCAGAGUGAAGAAAGCCAAACUACAUGGGCCUCCAGACAAGUUCAACGCAUAUGUGACUCUAAAGGUGCAAAAUGUGAAGAGCACCACCAUCACAGUCCGAG